rnacentral:rRNA from 1 species
AUUGAGCGCUGGCGGCAUGCCUUACACAUGCAAGUCGAACGGCAGCACGGGUGCUUGCACCUGGUGGCGAGUGGCGAACGGGUGAGUAAUACAUCGGAACGUACCUUAUCGUGGGGGAUAACGCAGCGAAAGUUGCGCUAAUACCGCAUACGCCCUGAGGGGGAAAGCGGGGGACCGUAAGGCCUCGCGCGAUUAGAGCGGCCGAUGUCUGAUUAGCUUGUUGGUGAGGUAAAAGCUCACCAAGGCGAUGAUCAGUAGCUGGUCUGAGAGGACGAUCAGCCACACUGGGACUGAGACACGGCCCAGACUCCUACGGGAGGCAGCAGUGGGGAAUUUUGGACAAUGGGGGCAACCCUGAUCCAGCAAUGCCGCGUGAGUGAAGAAGGCCUUCGGGUUGUAAAGCUCUUUUGUCAGGGAAGAAACAGCAGCUCUAACACAGUCUGCGAAUGACGGUACCUGAAGAAUAAGCACCGGCUAACUACGUGCGAGCAGCCGCGGUAA